rnacentral:rRNA from 1 species
AUACGGAGGGUGCAGGCGUUGUCCGGAUUUAUUGGGUUUAAAGGGUGUGUAGGCGGUGUAUUAAGUCAGUGGUGAAAGCCUGCGGCUCAACCGUAGAACUGCCAUUGAUACUGACACACUUGAGUAUGGACGAGGUAGGCGGAAUUUAUGGUGUAGCGGUGAAAUGCAUAGAUACCAUAAAGAACACCGAUAGCGAAGGCAGCUUACUAGGCCAUAACUGACGCUGAGGCACGAAAGCGUGGGGAGCGAACAGGAUUAGAAACCCCAGUAGUCC